rnacentral:sRNA from 1 species
CCAUAGCCCAGAUAGAAGGGAAAAUCCUUUUGUGCCGUCGUUCGGCAUAAAAGAUUGGAAUGAUAGCUGGAAAUAGC